rnacentral:rRNA from 1 species
AUUGAACGCUGGCGGCAGGCCUAACACAUGCAAGUCGGACGGUAGCACAGAGAGCUUGCUCUCGGGUGACGAGUGGCGGACGGGUGAGUAAUGUCUGGGGAUCUGCCCGAUAGAGGGGGAUAACCACUGGAAACGGUGGCUAAUACCGCAUAACGUCGCAAGACCAAAGAGGGGGACCUUCGGGCCUCUCACUAUCGGAUGAACCCAGAUGGGAUUAGCUAGUAGGCGGGGUAAUGGCCCACCUAGGCGACGCUCCCUAGCUGGUCUGAGAGGAUGACCAGCCAGACUGGAACGGGGACACGGUCCAGACUCCUACGGGAGGCAGCAGGGUGGAAUAUUGCACAAUGGGCGCAAGCCUGAUGCAGCCAUGCCGCGUGUAUGAAGAAGGACUUCGGGUUGUAAAGUACUUUCAGCGGGGAGGAAGGCGGUGCGGUUAAUAACCGCGCCGAUUGGCGUUACCCGCAGAAGAAGCACCGGCUAACUCCGUGCCAGCCGCCGCGGUAA